GUAGCGCAGGGGUAGCGCACCUCGUUCGGGACGAGGGGGUCGGAGGUUCAAAUCCUCUC
rnacentral:tRNA from 1 species